rnacentral:lncRNA from 1 species
GUAUUUGGGCCCUAUAUAUAGGGAACUAUUUUCAUGAUUAGGGUUUAAUGAAUGAUUAAGAAUUUCUUUUCCCUACGUUCUUUCUUCUCUUCUUCUCCUCUCCUUCUCUAUUCUUCCUGCGUCUCUACAACCUCUUCUUCCUUCUCCUUCUCUUGUUCUUCCUUCUUCUCCUCUUCCCCCGCACUGGUGCUACAUCAACU